rnacentral:lncRNA from 1 species
GGGUAUUAUGGGAUGGGUGGGGUUAUUGGGGGGUAUUAUGGGAUGGGUGGGGUUAUUAUGGGGUUAUUAUGGGAUGGGGGGGUUAAUGUGGUGUUAUUAUGGGAUGGGUGGGGUUAUUGUGGGGUUAUUAUGGGAUGUGUGAGGGAUUAUUAUGGGGUUACAAUGGGAUGUGUGGGGGGUUAUUGCGGGAUGUGGGGUUAUUUGGGGGUUAUUAUGGGAUUGGGGCGGUUAUGGGAUAAGGUAUUACGGGCUAAGGUAUAUGGGGUGGGGUUAUGGGAUGUGGGGCCGCAGGGAUAUGAGGUGUAGCGAUACGGGAUGGGGGGAUCUACGGAUAUGGGAUGGGGGGUUAUGGGGCCAUGGGGUUGUGGGGUUAUGGGGCUACAGGACCGUGGUGUUAUGGGGUUACUGAGUUAUAGGGCUGUAGGGUUACUGGGCUGUGGGGUUAUGGGGUUAUUGGGGUUAUGGGGUUACUGGGCUGUGGGGUUAUGGGGUUAGGAGUUUAUUGGGCUGUGGGGUUAUUGGGCUGUGGGGUUAUGGGAUUACUGGGCUGCAGGGUUAUGGGGUUAUGGGAAUGUGGGGUUAUGGGGUUAUUGGGCUGUGGGGUUAUUGGGCUGUGGGGUUAUGGGGUUAUUUGGGUUAUGGGAACGAGGGGAUAUGGGGUUACUGGGCUGUGGGGUUAGGAGUUUAUUGGCUUAUGGGGUUAUUGGGCUGUGGGGCUACUGGGCUGUGGGAUUACGGGGGUGUGGGGUUAUGGGGUUACUGGGCUGCGGGGUUAUGGGGUUAUUGGGGUUAUGGGAUUACUGGGCUGUGGGGUUAUGGGGUUAGGAGUUUAUUGGGCUGUGGGGUUAUUGGGCUGUGGGGUUACUGAGCUGUGGGGUUAUGGGGUUGUUGGGGUUAUGGGGUUACUGGGCUGUGGGGUUAUGGGAAUGUGGGGAUAUGGGGUUACUGGGCUGUGGGGUUAGGAGUUUAUUGGGCUAUGGGGUUAUUGGGGUUAUGGGAUUACUGGGCUGUGGGGUUGUGGGGUUAGGAGUUUAUUGGGUUAUGGGGUUAUUGGGCUGUGGGGUUAUGGGGUUAUGGGAAUGUGGGGUUACUCGGCUGUGGGGUUAUUGGGGUUAUGGGAUUACUGGGCUGUGGGGUUAUGGGGUUAGGAGUUUAUUGGGCUGUGGGGUUAUUGGGCUGUGGGGUUAUGGGAACGUGGGGUUAUGGGGUUACUGGGCUGUGGGGUUAUGGGGUUAGGAGUUUAUUGGGUUAUGGGGUUAUUGGGCUGUGGGGUUACUGAACUGUGGGGUUAUGGGAACAUGGGGUUAUGGGGUUAUUGGGCUGUGGGUUAUGGGGUUAUUGGGGUUAUAGGGUUAUUGGGCUGUGGGGUUAUGGGAACGUGGGGUUAUGGGAUUAUUGGGCUGUGGAGUUAUGGGGUUAUUGGGGUUAUGGGGCUGUGGGGUUAUUGGGGUGUAUGGUUAUGGGGUUAAAGGUCUGUGGGGUUAUGGGGCUAUUGGGGUAAUGGGGUUAUGGGGCCGUGGGUUACAGCGGCCAAAUAAAUCACCAUUUCCGCUGCCUCCGCGCUUUGCUGAGCUCCCGCCGCCUCUUGAACAGCUUCCGGCGCAGCUCCUGCGGGACGGAACCGUUACCGGAACCGGAAGCGAACCCCCAACUCCCCCUCCCCCCCCCACUCCCGGUUUCCCGCCGAGUACCGUUUUCGGGCGGUUGAUUUUCCCCCCGAUCCCCAUGGCGCACGUGCAACUUCCGGUCGGGCCCACUUCCGGCUCCUCCGACUUCCGGCCACACCCCUUCCGCUGUGCGCCACGAGGCUCUCCCCCUCACUUCCGCUCCUCGCCCCCUUCGUCCCGCCCUUCCUCUCUCCCUAUUGGUUUCCCGUCUCCAUCGCCGCGCGUGAUUGGCUCCCUUCCGGACACAGCCGCUUUUGAUUGGCCGAGCGGGGCAGAAAAGGCGCCGCGUGGAAGCGGGGCGGCCAUUUUGCGGCGGAGCGGCGAACGGAGCGGAGGGUCUGCCAAUGGACGGCAACGAAGACGAGAGGUGUGGGGCUGCCCCAUAGCGAUGUGUGGCACUGCCCCAUAGGGUGCUCUGCCCCAUAGCGAUGUGUGGGGCUGCCCCAUAGCGUGCUGUGCUCCACAGCGACAUGUGGGGCUGCCCCAUAGAGUGCCCCAUAGCGACGUGUGGGACUGCCCCAUGGAGUGCUCUGCCCCAUAGCGACGUGUGGGGCUGCCCCAUAGCGUGCCCUGCCCCAUAGCGAUGUGCGGGGCUGCCCCAUAGAGUGCCCCAUAGAGCGCUGUGCCCCAUAGCGAUGUGUGGGACUGCCCCAUGGAGUGCUCUGCCCCAUAGCGACGUGUGGGACUGCCCCAUGGAGUGCUCUGCCCCAUAGCGACGUGUGGGACUGCCCCAUGGAGUGCUCUGCCCCAUAGCGACGUGUGGGGCUGCCCCAUAGCGUGCUCUGCCCCAUAGCGACGUGUGGGGCUGCCCCAUAGCGUGCUCUGCCCCAUAGUGACGUGUGGGGCUGCCCCAUAGAGUGCUGUGCCCCAAAGCGAUGUGUGGGGCUGCCCCAUAGGGUGCUGUGCCCUAUAGAGAUGUGUGGGGCUGCCCCAUAGAGCACUGUGCCCCAUAGUGACAUAUGGGGCUGCCCCAUAGAGCACUGUGCCCCAUAGCGACGUGUGGGGCUGCCCCAUAGCGUGCUGUGCCCCAUAGCAACGUGUGGGGCUGCCCCAUAGUGUGCUCUGCCCAAUAGCGAUGCGUGGGGCUGCCCCGUAGAGUGCUGUGCCCCAUAGAGUGCUCUGCCCCAUAGCGUGCUGUGCCCCAUAGCGACGUGUGGGGCUGCCCCAUAGAGCGCUGUGCCCCAUAGCCACGUGUGGGGCUGCCCCAUAGCGUGCUCUGCCCCAUAGCAACGUGUGGCGCUGCCCCAUAGAGUGCUCUGCCCCAUAGAGCGCUGUGCCCCACAGCGACGUGUGGGGCUGCCCCAUAGCGUGCUGUGCCCCACAGCGUGCUCUGCCCCAUAGAGCGCUGUGCCCCAUAGCAACGUGUGGGGCUGCCCCAUAGCGUGCUGUGCCCCAUAGCGAUGUGUGGGGCCACCCCAUAGAGCACUCUGCCCCAUAGCGACGUGUGGGGCUGCCCCAUAGCGUGCUGUGCCCCAUAGCGACGUGUGGGGCCGCCCCAUAGAGCACUCUGCCCCAUAGCGACGUGUGGGGCUGCCCCAUAGAGUGCUGUGCCCCAUAGCGACGUGUGGGGCUGCCCCAUAGAGCGCUGUGCCCCGUAACGAUGUGUGGGGCUGCCCCAUAGAGCGCUGUGCCCCGUAACGAUGUGUGGGGCUGCCCCAUAGAGCGCUGUGCCCCGUAACGAUGUGUGGGGCUGCCCCAUAGAGCGCUGUGCCCCAUAAUGAUGUGUGGGGCUGCCCCAUAGCGAUGUGUGGGGCUGCCCCAUAGAGCGCUGUGCCCCACAGCGCCCCACAACAUUCAAUGGAUCCCCAAAUAAAGGCGUUUCUCCCCCUCAAAAGUGUGGUUAUGGGGUUAUGGGAUGUGG